UACGGGGGGGGCAAGCGUUGUUCGGAAUUACUGGGCGUAAAGGGCUCGUAGGCGGCCAACUAAGUCGGAUGUGAAAUCCCCAGGCUCAACUUGGGAACUGCAUCCGAUACUGGAUGGCUUGAAUUCGGGAGAGGGAUGUGGAAUUCCAGGUGUAGCGGUGAAAUGCGUAGAUAUCUGGAGGAACACCGGUGGCGAAGGCGGCAUCCUGGACCGACAUUGACGCUGAGGCGCGAAAGCCAGGGGAGCAAACGGG
rnacentral:rRNA from 1 species